ensembl:snoRNA
GCACCCUUGUGAUGUCCAGCACUGGGCUCUGACCACCUUAAGGACAUGGUGCUCCCCUAGGACCAUUGACGCCCAGAGGUCUGAGGGGCCC